UGUCCGUGUUCUUGGAAGUCUUGGUUGCUCCUAUCAAUUGCUUGUCUCCCAGCUAGCCUGUGGACCAAAUAAAACUGUUGCUAACGGGAUAGAAGCUGUUUGGAUUCAAAUGCCAGUGCAGGAUAUGGCAACAGAAAUUAACAUCUCAUGUCUGCUGGGAUCAAAGUUACUCUGAGCUCUGAAGAUUGCAAAAUGAAAGUACUGGGUUCUGCAAAGCUCUUCUUCAGCCCAGGAUUGAACUCUCAAGAUACUCCUUUCAAUGAGUGAGAUGAGAAACAAUCCUGGAGUAUCAUAAUUUGAAAGGACAAGAGACAAAUACCUUGCUGUUUGUAUCACCUUUCUUGUCCCUAUAAAGUGACUGUUAUCAUCUGGAUGACAUUUUUUCCUGUCUACUUAUUAGACAGGUUCUGCAGAGGGGAGUGAUGCUGCAAUCAUAUUGACCUGGAAAAUUCUGCA